UAUAAAUAUUAUAUAUAUUAUAAAACCUUAAUGAUAUUAUCGAUAUUGAAUCUAAAAUAGUUAACACGAUGCAAGAGGCGAUAAGAAGUUUGAGCUCUUCAAAUACAGUUAACUAUUCAUUCAAACUUCGAGGUCAGAUAAAUGAACGAAUACAAUAAAUAGUACAAGUACAAAUGAAUAUACUUUUCAAGAAGAAAGCAAAAAAGAUAGAUAGACAAGAUGUACUCACUGUUAUUGCAUUACUACCGAGAUCGGUAUAUGUAUAUGACAGAUAUGAUUUCAUCAAGUCGUGUAGAAUAAUAGUUUAAAGUUACAUGACUAAAGAAAACGAACUGGUUGAGAAUACUACAUUAGUGUAACUGGUAGAACUACGGUACGUAUAAAAUCUUCAAUGGUUAAUAAACGUAAUCAAGAUAAACAGUGUGUAGGAAGAGAAUUCAGCUCUCAGAAAAGAUUUGUUUUGAUUUCUACUGGUUAACUUGAGAUGGCAAUUUACACCGGGCUAUUUAAACCACUUGUGUACGGUUGAGUAAGUGAUGGUGAUAAGUGAAAUGAAACAUAACAUCAAAGUACAGUGCAUAACCAGCAAGCUUCAUGAUAUUGUGUAACGAAAACGGAAACAAAAUUUUAUCUUUAAGUUUUAUAUCCGAGAAUAAAAUGAAUACAUA